AUACUUACCUGUCAGGGGAGACUCGAUGAUCAGACAGGUGGCUUUCCCAGGGUGAGGCUCAUUCCUAGCAUUUUGGGUGUGCUGACCCCUGCGAUUUCCCCAAAUGCGGGAAACUCGACUGCAUAAUUUGUGGUAGUGGGGGACUGCGUUCGCGCUCUCCCCUG
rnacentral:snRNA from 1 species